UGGCGGCGUGCCUAAUACAUGCAAGUCGAACGAGUUCUCGUUGAUGAUCGGUGCUUGCACCGAGAUUCAACAUGGAACGAGUGGCGGACGGGUGAGUAACACGUGGGUAACCUGCCCUUAAGUGGGGGAUAACAUUUGGAAACAGAUGCUAAUACCGCAUAGAUCCAAGAACCGCAUGGUUCUUGGCUGAAAGAUGGCGUAAGCUAUCGCUUUUGGAUGGACCCGCGGCGUAUUAGCUAGUUGGUGAGGUAAUGGCUCACCAAGGCGAUGAUACGUAGCCGAACUGAGAGGUUGAUCGGCCACAUUGGGACUGAGACACGGCCCAAACUCCUACGGGAGGCAGCAGUAGGGAAUCUUCCACAAUGGACGCAAGUCUGAUGGAGCAACGCCGCGUGAGUGAAGAAGGCUUUCGGGUCGUAAAACUCUGUUGUUGGAGAAGAAUGGUCGGCAGAGUAACUGUUGUCGGCGUGACGGUAUCCAACCAGAAAGCCACGGCUAACUACGUGCCAGCAGCCGCGGUAAUACGUAGGUGGCAAGCGUUAUCCGGAUUUAUUGGGCGUAAAGCGAGCGCAGGCGGUUUUUUAAGUCUGAUGUGAAAGCCCUCGGCUUAACCGAGGAAGCGCAUCGGAAACUGGGAAACUUGAGUGCAGAAGAGGACAGUGGAACUCCAUGUGUAGCGGUGAAAUGCGUAGAUAUAUGGAAGAACACCAGUGGCGAAGGCGGCUGUCUGGUCUGUAACUGACGCUGAGGCUCGAAAGCAUGGGUAGCGAACAGGAUUAGAUACCCUGGUAGUCCAUGCCGUAAACGAUGAAUGCUAGGUGUUGGAGGGUUUCCGCCCUUCAGUGCCGCAGCUAACGCAUUAAGCAUUCCGCCUGGGGAGUACGACCGCAAGGUUGAAACUCAAAGGAAUUGACGGGGGCCCGCACAAGCGGUGGAGCAUGUGGUUUAAUUCGAAGCAACGCGAAGAACCUUACCAGGUCUUGACAUCUUUUGAUCACCUGAGAGAUCAGGUUUCCCCUUCGGGGGCAAAAUGACAGGUGGUGCAUGGUUGUCGUCAGCUCGUGUCGUGAGAUGUUGGGUUAAGUCCCGCAACGAGCGCAACCCUUAUGACUAGUUGCCAGCAUUUAGUUGGGCACUCUAGUAAGACUGCCGGUGACAAACCGGAGGAAGGUGGGGAUGACGUCAAAUCAUCAUGCCCCUUAUGACCUGGGCUACACACGUGCUACAAUGGAUGGUACAACGAGUUGCGAGACCGCGAGGUCAAGCUAAUCUCUUAAAGCCAUUCUCAGUUCGGACUGUAGGCUGCAACUCGCCUACACGAAGUCGGAAUCGCUAGUAAUCGCGGAUCAGCACGCCGCGGUGAAUACGUUCCCGGGCCUUGUACACACCGCCCGUCACACCAUGAGAGUUUGUAACACCCGAAGCCGGUGGCGUAACCCUUUUAGGGAGCGAGCCGUCUAAGGUGGGACAAAUGAUUAGGG
rnacentral:rRNA from 2 species